ACAGGAAGUCUGCUCCGUUAAAUGAGCCAUCAGACCCUCCAACCAGCUCCACCUUGUGGUACCUCCUCAGACCUUCACCAUCUGCUCUGAUCACUCAAACAGGAAGUAACUCUGAUAACGUCAGUGACAGAGUUUGGAUAAUUCGUACUGACUGAGUGCGUCACUGAGUCGUUUUCAUGUCUGAACCUAAGCAAGUGGUUUUGGUGUCGACAUUUAACCGAGACCUUCUGGUGCCCAAACUUACCCAAGCACCUUCACAGGUGCACUUGGGUUUUGAGUCUAAGUACUAAAUUGUGGUUCCACCUCCAGUAAAUGAAGAACAGGAUACUGAGUUGGUAGAAGGUGGAGGAGUUCCUUACCAUGUAUGUGUGGGAAUGAUUG